GAUGAACGCUGGCGGCGUGCCUAAUACAUGCAAGUCGAGCGGACAGACGAGGAGCUUGCUCCUCUGACGUUAGCGGCGGACGGGUGAGUAACACGUGGAUAAUCUACCUAUAAGACUGGGAUAACUUCGGGAAACCGGAGCUAAUACCGGAUAAUAUAUUGAACCGCAUGGUUCAAUAGUGAAAGACGGUUUUGCUGUCACUUAUAGAUGGAUCCGCGCCGCAUUAGCUAGUUGGUAAGGUAACGGCUUACCAAGGCAACGAUGCGUAGCCGACCUGAGAGGGUGAUCGGCCACACUGGAACUGAGACACGGUCCAGACUCCUACGGGAGGCAGCAGUAGGGAAUCUUCCGCAAUGGGCGAAAGCCUGACGGAGCAACGCCGCGUGAGUGAUGAAGGUCUUCGGAUCGUAAAACUCUGUUAUUAGGGAAGAACAAAUGUGUAAGUAACUAUGCACGUCUUGACGGUACCUAAUCAGAAAGCCACGGCUAACUACGUG
rnacentral:rRNA from 1 species